rfam:Felis catus isolate Cinnamon breed Abyssinian chromosome D4, whole genome shotgun sequence.
GCCUGGGUGGCUCAGUCGGUUAAGCGUCCGACUUCGGCUCAGGUCAUGAUCUCACAGUCUGUGGGUUCAAGCCCCGCAUCAGGCU